rnacentral:misc_RNA from 1 species
GAUGAAGAACGUAGCGAAAUGCGAUAAGUAAUGUGAAUUGCAGAAUUCAGUGAAUCAUCGAAUCUUUGAACGCACAUUGCGCCCAUUAGUAUUCUAGUGGGCAUGCCUGUUCGAGCGUCAUUUCAACCCUUAAGCCUAGCUUAGUAUUGGGAAUCGACUUUACUGUCCUUCCUCAAAUUCAACGGCGGAUUUAUAGCAAUCUCUGAACGUAGUAAUUUUUUUCCUCGUUUUUGAAAUACUAUAAACCUCAGCCGCUAAACCCCCAAUUUUUUUAUGGUUGACCUCGGAUCAGGUAGGAAUACCCGCUGAACUUAAGCAUAUCAAUAAGCGGAGGA